ACUCCUGCGGGAGGCAGCAGUAGGGAAUCUUCCACAAUGGGUGCAAACCUGAUGGAGCAAUGCCGCGUGAGUGAAGAAGGUCUUCGGAUCGUAAAGCUCUGUUGUUAGAGAAGAACACGUGCUAGGUAACUACUAGCGCCUUGACGGUAUCUAACCAGAAAGUCACGGCUAACUACGUGCCAGCAGCCGCGGUAAUACGUAGGUGACAAGCGUUGUCCGGAUUUAUUGGGCGUAAAGGGAGCGCAGGCGGUCUGUUUAGUCUAAUGUGAAAGCCCACGGCUUAACCGUGGAACGGCAUUGGAAACUGACAGACUUGAAUGUAGAAGAGGAAAAUGGAAUUCCAAGUGUAGCGGUGGAAUGCGUAGAUAUUUGGAGGAACACCAGUGGCGAAGGCGAUUUUCUGGUCUAACAUUGACGCUGAGGCUCGAAAGCGUGGGGAGCGAACAGGAUUAGAAACCCUUGUAGUCCCA
rnacentral:rRNA from 1 species